AAGUCGUAACAAGGUUUCCGUAGGUGAACCUGCGGAAGGAUCAUUAAAAGUGAUUGGUUAUACAUUUCAUGUAUCAACUGCAUAAACCCAUUCCGAGUAUCUUGCCUGUUGCUUCCAUGGGGCCCGACCUCGGUCACUCUUGUGAUGUGAAAUCCAAGAGAGUCCCCAUGGGAGGUAAUCAUUAAAUUCAUGUAUCCAAUGUCUUCUGUCUGAACUGUUUAUGACAAAUGUUAAAACUUUCAACAACGGAUCUCUUGGUUCUCGCAUCGAUGAAGAACGCAGCGAAAUGCGAUAAGUAGUGUGAAUUGCAGAAUUCAGUGAAUCAUCGAAUCUUUGAACGCACAUUGCGCCUCCUGGUAUUCCGGGAGGCAUGCCUGUUCGAGCGUCAUUAAAUACCUCUCAAGCAUAUUUGCUUGGUCAUGGAAGAUGAGUAUGGUUGCAUUCUCCCUUCUGAAAUUCAAAGGCGGAUGAUCUCAUAUCCCCAGGUGUAGUAAGUUUAUCUUUUCGCUUGGUGUGUGUUAUUGUCCUGCCGUUGACCCCCANUUUUUUUUUAAGGUUGACCUCGGAUCAGGUAGGGAUACCCGCUGAACUUAAGCAUAUCGAUAAGCGGAGGAAAAGAAACCAACAGGGAUUGCCUUAGUAGCUGCGAGUGAAGCGNCAAAAGCUCAAAUUUGAAAUCUGGCGUCCUCGGCGUCCGAAUUGUAAUUNGGAGAGGCAACUUCGGUGAUGGUGCCGUCCUAAGUCCCUUGGANCAGGAUGACAUAGAGGGUGAGAUCCCCGUGCCUGGAUGGCUGACCAUCUCCAUGUGAAUUGCCUUCGAAGAGUCGAGUUGUUUGGGAAUGCAGCUCAAAAUGGGUGGUAAAUUUCAUCUAAAGCUAAAUAUUGGCGAGAGACCGAUAGCGCACAAGUAGAGUGAUCGAAAGAUGAAAAGCACUUUGAAAAGAGAGUUAAAAAGUACGUGAAAUUGUUGAAAGGGAAGCGCUUGAGACCAGACUCGAUUUGUGGUGAUCAGCUGUGCUUCUGUACGGUGCACUCGCCAUGGAUCGGGCCAGCAUCGGUUCUGACGGUGGGAUAAAAGGUUGAGGAAUGUGUCUUCCUUCGGGGAGUGUUAUAGCCUCACUCACAAUGCCACCAGCUGGGACCGAGGACCGCGCUUCGGCUAGGAUGCUGGCGUAAUGGUCUUAAGCGACC
rnacentral:rRNA from 1 species